UUCACAUGUAACAUGGAACUGCAGGUCCAAUGGACCUGCUAGUUCCAUGCCCCCCACCCCCAUCCAAAUCCAGAUGUAAUGGAGAGUGAGACUGCAGAGAGGAGGGGGAGCGGGCUGUGUGGGCCUCCUUCUUGCCUGAUGGAAAGCCCACACAGCCAAUCACGCCGGAGUUGAGGGAGGAGCUUCCUCCCUCAACUCUGGUUCCAGGGGAUGCAGCCUGCGGUUCCACAAUCGGAUGUACUGCAGGCUGCAUCCAACCUCGUGUUGCGGCAAGGAAAUUCAUUACAACCUGAGAGUUCAGAUUGGAGUUCCAAAUCUGAACCUUCUGGUUUCGUCACCACACCUACCGCCAAUUGCCCACAUUCACUAAUAUGAGAAAUAUCUGACAGCCAUCAAGGGAAGAAAACUGAAAUUUGAUAAGACGUGAACUUUUCUGGGCAGUAGCAUAACAUUAUCCUGAGAACUGAGACUGCAUAUUCUGGAAGUGAAAUGAGGAAUAAUAAAGGCAGGAAAACGACACCACCUUCAGUUAUAUAUGUCACUGCUGUUAAACGUACAGAAGCCAGGCCAAUUGUAAUCACCAGUUAUUACAGCCAGCAACAGCUACAGAUAUCCAGAUGUGGUUUAUGGAACUAUGCAGAGAGCUUUUCAAAGAAAAUUGUACUGUUCAGAUCAGAAUUGUGCAAAGUAGGAAAAUAGAGAACCUCUUUGCCAUACAAUACCUCACUUCUUUAUCACUGAAUGUGGAGAACAUGUCUGAGAAAAUUAUUUGACAUUUCUCCUUGGAAGGAAUUCAGAAAUUCUUUUUCAAAUUUCAGUUUCUGCUUGAAGGGGCUCUGAAAUUCUCUAUCGAAUUUCACUUUGGAGAAAUCUGAAGACCAAAUCACCAGUGAAGUAAAAAAUACCAUACUGCAUGUAUGUAUUAAGGCCUUUAUGAGCAAACCUCUCUUUUUUUACUUGCAGAGUAGCCAUAUCGAGUGGUUUGUUAAAGUUUUUAUUGCAUCUAUUUCAUCAUGUCUUAAUUUUUUCCCCUGUGUCCCAGACAAUAAAAACUAUAUGGCUGGAAGAGAAAGGCCAUGCAGGCAGCAGACACUGAGCUGAGACACUGUAGCUGAGAGUCUGCUACAGAAGUCUCAAUAAAACAGAUCAGCUCCUGA